UUAAGCGACUAAGCGUACACGGUGGAUGCCCUGGCAGUCAGAGGCGAUGAAGGACGUGCUAAUCUGCGAAAAGCGUCGGUAAGGUGAUAUGAACCGUUACAGCCGGCGAUGUCCGAAUGGGGAAACCCAGUGUGAUUCGUCACACUAUCGUUAACUGAAUACAUAGGUUAACGAGGCGAACCGGGGGAACUGAAACAUCUAAGUACCCCGAGGAAAAGAAAUCAACCGAGAUUCCCCCAGUAGCGGCGAGCGAACGGGGAGCAGCCCAGAGUCUGAAUCAGCUUGUGUGUUAGUGGAACGGUCUGGAAAGUCCGACGGUACAGGGUGAUAGUCCCGUACACCAAAAUGCACAGGUUGUGAACUCGAAGAGUAGGGCGGGACACGUGGUAUCCUGUCUGAAUAUGGGGGGACCAUCCUCCAAGGCUAAAUACUCCUGACUGACCGAUAGUGAACCAGUACCGUGAGGGAAAGGCGAAAAGAACCCCGGCGAGGGGAGUGAAAAAGAACCUGAAACCGUGUACGUACAAGCAGUGGGAGCACCUUCGGGUGUGACUGCGUACCUUUUGUAUAAUGGGUCAGCGACUUAUAUUCUGUAGCAAGGUUAACCGUAUAGGGGAGCCGCAGGGAAACCGAGUCUUAACUGGGCGUUAAGUUGCAGGGUAUAGACCCGAAACCCGGUGAUCUAGCCAUGGGCAGGUUGAAGGUUGGGUAACACUAACUGGAGGACCGAACCGACUAAUGUUGAAAAAUUAGCGGAUGACUUGUGGCUGGGGGGGAAAGGCCAAUCAAACCGGGAGAUAGCUGGUUCUCCCCGAAAGCUAUUUAGGUAGCGCCUCGUGAACUCAUCUUCGGGGGUAGAGCACUGUUUCGGCUAGGGGGUCAUCCCGACUUACCAACCCGAUGCAAACUACGAAUACCGAAGAAUGUUAUCACGGGAGACACACGGCGGGUGCUAACGUCCGUCGUGAAGAGGGAAACAACCCAGACCGCCAGCUAAGGUCCCAAAGUCAUGGUUAAGUGGGAAACGAUGUGGGAAGGCACAGACAGCCAGGAUGUUGGCUUAGAAGCAGCCAUCAUUUAAAGAAAGCGUAAUAGCUCACUGGUCGAGUCGGCCUGCGCGGAAGAUGUAACGGGGCUAAACCAUGCACCGAAGCUGCGGCAGCGACACUAUGUGUUGUUGGGUAGGGGAGCGUUCUGUAAGCCUGCGAAGGUGUGCUGUGAGGCAUGCUGGAGGUAUCAGAAGUGCGAAUGCUGACAUAAGUAACGAUAAAGCGGGUGAAAAGCCCGCUCGCCGGAAGACCAAGGGUUCCUGUCCAACGUUAAUCGGGGCAGGGUGAGUCGACCCCUAAGGCGAGGCCGAAAGGCGUAGUCGAUGGGAAACAGGUUAAUAUUCCUGUACUUGGUGUUACUGCGAAGGGGGGACGGAGAAGGCUAUGUUAGCCGGGCGACGGUUGUCCCGGUUUAAGCAUGUAGGCUGGUUAUCCAGGCAAAUCCGGAUAAUCAAGGCUGAGGUGUGAUGACGAGGCACUACGGUGCUGAAGUAACAAAUGCCCUGCUUCCAGGAAAAGCCUCUAAGCAUCAGGUAACAUCAAAUCGUACCCCAAACCGACACAGGUGGUCAGGUAGAGAAUACCAAGGCGCUUGAGAGAACUCGGGUGAAGGAACUAGGCAAAAUGGUGCCGUAACUUCGGGAGAAGGCACGCUGGUGUGUAGGUGAAGUCCCUGCGGAUGGAGCUGAGACCAGUCGAAGAUACCAGCUGGCUGCAACUGUUUAUUAAAAACACAGCACUGUGCAAACACGAAAGUGGACGUAUACGGUGUGACGCCUGCCCGGUGCCGGAAGGUUAAUUGAUGGGGUUAUCCGUAAGGAGAAGCUCUUGAUCGAAGCCCCGGUAAACGGCGGCCGUAACUAUAACGGUCCUAAGGUAGCGAAAUUCCUUGUCGGGUAAGUUCCGACCUGCACGAAUGGCGUAAUGAUGGCCAGGCUGUCUCCACCCGAGACUCAGUGAAAUUGAACUCGCUGUGAAGAUGCAGUGUACCCGCGGCAAGACGGAAAGACCCCGUGAACCUUUACUAUAGCUUGACACUGAACAUUGAGCCUUGAUGUGUAGGAUAGGUGGGAGGCUUUGAAGCGUGGACGCCAGUCUGCGUGGAGCCAACCUUGAAAUACCACCCUUUAAUGUUUGAUGUUCUAACGUUGGCCCCUGACCGGGGUUGCGGACAGUGUCUGGUGGGUAGUUUGACUGGGGCGGUCUCCUCCCAAAGCGUAACGGAGGAGCACGAAGGUUAGCUAAUCCUGGUCGGACAUCAGGAGGUUAGUGCAAUGGCAUAAGCUAGCUUGACUGCGAGCGUGACGGCGCGAGCAGGUGCGAAAGCAGGUCAUAGUGAUCCGGUGGUUCUGAAUGGAAGGGCCAUCGCUCAACGGAUAAAAGGUACUCCGGGGAUAACAGGCUGAUACCGCCCAAGAGUUCAUAUCGACGGCGGUGUUUGGCACCUCGAUGUCGGCUCAUCACAUCCUGGGGCUGAAGUAGGUCCCAAGGGUAUGGCUGUUCGCCAUUUAAAGUGGUACGCGAGCUGGGUUUAGAACGUCGUGAGACAGUUCGGUCCCUAUCUGCCGUGGGCGCUGGAGAAUUGAGGGGGGCUGCUCCUAGUACGAGAGGACCGGAGUGGACGCAUCACUGGUGUUCGGGUUGUCAUGCCAAUGGCACUGCCCGGUAGCUAAAUGCGGAAGAGAUAAGUGCUGAAAGCAUCUAAGCACGAAACUUGCCCCGAGAUGAGUUCUCCCUGAGACUUUAAGUCUCCUGAAGGAACGUUGAAGACGACGACGUUGAUAGGCCGGGUGUGUAAGCGCAGCGAUGCGUUGAGCUAACCGGUACUAAUGAACCGUGAGGCUUAACCUU
rnacentral:rRNA from 1 species